ACAAUGAAGAGUUUGAUCCUGGCUCAGGAUGAACGCUAGCGGCAGGCCUAACACAUGCAAGUCGAGGGGUAACAGGGAAGCUUGCUUCCGCUGACGACCGGCGAACGGGUGAGUAACACGUAUGCAACCUGCCUCUAACUGGGGAAUAGCUCAUAGAAAUGUGAAUUAAUACCCCAUAAUAUAUAUUUAAGGCAUCUUUUAUAUAUUAAAGCUCCGGCGGUUAGAGAUGGGCAUGCGGGACAUUAGCUUGUUGGUGAGGUAACGGCUCACCAAGGCUACGAUGUCUAGGGGGUCUGAGAGGACUAUCCCCCACACUGGUACUGAGA
rnacentral:rRNA from 1 species